AUUGAACGCUGGCGGCAGGCCUAACACAUGCAAGUCGAACGGUAACACGAUACAGGUUGCUGUUUCGCUGACGAGUGGCGGAGGGGUGUGUAAUGUCUGGGGGACUGCCUUUUGGAGGGGGAUAUCUACUGGAAACGGUUGCUUUUACCGCAUAACGUAGCUAUACCAGAGAGGUGGGCCCUUUGGCCUCUUGCCAUCUCAUGUGCUCAGGUGGGAUUAGCUUGUUGGUGGGGUAACGGCUCACCAAGGCGACGGUCCCUAGCUGGGAUGAGAGGAUGACCAGCCACACUGGAACUGAGACACGGUCCAGACUCCUACGGGAGGCAGCAGUGGGGAAUAUUGAACAAUGGGCGCAAGCCAGAUGAAGCCAUACCGCGUGUAUGAAGAAGGCCUUCGGGUUGUAAAGUACUUUUAUUGGGGAGGAAAAGAGUAAAGUUAAUACCUGUAAUCAUUGACGUUACCAACAGAAGAAGCACCGGCUAACUCAGUG
rnacentral:rRNA from 1 species